AUUAUCACCAUGUUAGGAUUUGAAUCUGCUAUUUUACUUUUUGCUUGUUCUGUUUUAUUUUUUCUUUUCUGUUGGUAGUUCAAGUAAUUUUGAAUUUAAAUAUUAUAUAUCUAUAGUGCUUCCAAAUAUAUUUGUAUGGAAUUUUCAGUGCUUGCUCUUUAUAUUGCAUUAUAUAUACUUAUUAUAGUCUAUUGGUGUCACAAUUUCACUAAUUUAAAUGAAGCAUAGAAACCUUACUUCCCUUUUUAUCCCUUUACCCUCCCCCAUUCAUUAUUGUUUUAAAUAUUUCCUCUAGAUAUAUUUAGAACUACAUCAAACAAAUAUAAAUUUUGCUUAAACCAUAAAACACAAUUUAAAAAAUUUAAGAGAGGGGUAGCCUAUUGUAUAUACGUAUUUUUGGUUGCUGAUUUUUCUUCCUUUCUGAGGUUCUGAGGCUUAUUCUCAGAAGAAUGACUUCCUAUAGCCUUUUUUUUUAAUUGUAGUACUGGGGGUUGAACUUGAGCCCAGGGUCACUUUACCAUUGAGAUACAUCUCCAGGCCUUUUCAUUUUUAAAAUUUUGAUGCAUGGGCUCACUAAACUGCCCAGGCAGGCUUCAAACUUCCUGCCUCACACUGCUGAGGUGUAUGCCACUGCGCCCAGCCCUGUAACCAUUCUCAUAGAUAAGUCUGCUGGUGAUAAAUUCUCUCAGUUUUUUUAAAAAUAUAUCUGAGAAUAUUUUGUUUUCCCCUUAAUUCCUGUAUUGUAUUUACUUAAUUCCUGAAGGAUAUUUUUGCUGAAUAUAGGAUUCGGGGCUUAACACUUUUUAAGUGUCAGCACUUAAAACACGUUUUGCCACUUUGUUUGGGUGUUCAUGGUUUCCAAUGAGAAAUCUGUUUCUUAAACUCUUUUCCCUCAUAAGUGAGGAAUCAUUUUUCCUUUCACUUUUUUCAAGUUUUUUUUUCUUUUAUUUUAGUUUUGUAAGUUUGACUUGUUUGUAUUGAUAUGCA
rnacentral:lncRNA from 1 species